rnacentral:rRNA from 1 species
AAUAGAUACCCCGGUAGUCCACGCCGUAAACGAUGAGUGCUAAGUGUUAGGGGGUUUCCGCCCCUUAGUGCUGCAGCUAACGCAUUAAGCACUCCGCCUGGGGAGUACGGCCGCAAGGCUGAAACUCAAAGGAAUUGACGGGGGCCCGCACAAGCGGUGGAGCAUGUGGUUUAAUUCGAAGCAACGCGAAGAACCUUACCAGGUCUUGACAUCCUCUGACAACCCUAGAGAUAGGGCGUUCCCCUUCGGGGGACAGAGUGACAGGUGGUGCAUGGUUGUCGUCAGCUCGUGUCGUGAGAUGUUGGGUUAAGUCCCGCAACGAGCGCAACCCUUGAUCUUAGUUGCCAGCAUUCAGUUGGGCACUCUAAGGUGACUGCCGGUGACAAACCGGAGGAAGGUGGGGAUGACGUCAAAUCAUCAUGCCCCUUAUGACCUGGGCUACACACGUGCUACAAUGGAUGGUACAAAGGGCUGCCAAACCGCGAGGUUGAGCGAAUCCCAUAAAACCAUUCUCAGUUCGGAUUGCAGG